rnacentral:rRNA from 1 species
CCUACGGGCGGCUGCAGUGGGGAAUAUUGCACAAUGGGCGCAAGCCUGAUGCAGCCACGCCGCGUGUGUGAAGAAGGCCUUCGGGUUGUAAAGCACUUUCAGCGGGGAGGAAGGCGUUAAGGUUAAUAUCCUUGGCGAUUGACGUUACCCGCAGAAGAAGCACCGGCUAACUCCGUGCCAGCAGCCGCGGUAAUACGGAGGGUGCAAGCGUUAAUCGGAAUUACUGGGCGUAAAGCGCACGCAGGCGGUCUGUCAAGUCGGAUGUGAAAUCCCCGGGCUCAACCUGGGAACUGCAUUCGAAACUGGCAGGCUAGAGUCUUGUAGAGGGGAGUGGAAUUCCAGGUGUAGCGGUGAAAUGCGUAGAGAUCUGGAGGAAUACCGGUGGCGAAGGCGGCCCCCUGGGCAAAGACUGACGCUCAGGUGCGAAAGCGUGGGGAGCGAACAGGAUUAGAUACCCGUGUAGUC